rnacentral:rRNA from 1 species
UACGGAGGGUGCGAGCGUUGUCCGGAAUCACUGGGCGUAAAGGGUGCGUAGGCGGCGCGAGCAGUCGGCGGUGAAAGCCCGGAGCUCAACUCCGGGUCGGCCGUCGAUACUCUCGUGCUUGAGCACUGUAGAGGCAGGUGGAAUUCCGGGUGUAGCGGUGGAAUGCGUAGAGAUCCGGAAGAACACCGGUGGCGAAGGCGGCCUGCUGGGCAGUAGCUGACGCUGAUGCGCGACAGCGUGGGGAGCAAACAGG